rnacentral:tRNA from 1 species
GAAAUGUUAGUCUAAUUCUAAGACAGCUGAUUUCGACUCAGCAGAUUAUAGUGCAACUCCAUAAUAUUUU